GACGAACGCUGGCGGCGUGCUUAACACAUGCAAGUCGAACGGAAAGGCCCUGCUUUUGUGGGGUGCUCGAGUGGCGAACGGGUGAGUAACACGUGAGUAACCUGCCCUUGACUUUGGGAUAACUUCAGGAAACUGGGGCUAAUACCGGAUAGGAGCUCCUGCUGCAUGGUGGGGGUUGGAAAGUUUCGGCGGUUGGGGAUGGACUCGCGGCUUAUCAGCUUGUUGGUGGGGUAGUGGCUUACCAAGGCUUUGACGGGUAGCCGGCCUGAGAGGGUGAACGGCCACAUUGGGACUGAGAUACGGCGCAGAAUCCUACGGGAGGCAGCAGUGGGGAAUAUUGCACAAUGGGCGGAAGCCUGAUGCAGCAACGCCGCGUGCGGGAUGACGGCCUUCGGGUUGUAAACCGCUUUCGCCUGUGCCGAAGCGUGAGUGACGGUAAUGGGUAAAGAAGCACCGGCUAACUACGUG
rnacentral:rRNA from 1 species